GACGAGGCACCACGGUGCUGAAGCAACAAAUGCCCUGCUUCCAGGAAAAGCCUCUAAGCCUCAGGUAACAUCAAAUCGUACCCCAAACCGACACAGGUGGUCAGGUAGAGAAUACCAAGGCGCUUGAGAGAACUCGGGUGAAGGAACUAGGCAAAAUGGUGCCGUAACUUCGGGAGAAGGCACGCUGACAGGUAGGUGAAGUGGUUUACCCAUGGAGCUGAAGUCAGUCGAAGAUACCAGCUGGCUGCAACUGUUUAUUAAAAACACAGCACUGUGCAAACACGAAAGUGGACGUAUACGGUGUGACGCCUGCCCGGUGCCGGAAGGUUAAUUGAUGGGGUCAGCGCAAGCGAAGCUCCUGAUCGAAGCCCCGGUAAACGGCGGCCGUAACUAUAACGGUCCUAAGGUAGCGAAAUUCCUUGUCGGGUAAGUUCCGACCUGCACGAAUGGCGUAAUGAUGGCCAGGCUGUCUCCACCCGGGACUCAGUGAAAUUGAACUCGCUGUGAAGAUGCAGUGUACCCGCGGCAAGACGGAAAGACCCCGUGAACCUUUACUAUAGCUUGACACUGAACACUGGUCCUUGAUGUGCAGGAUAGGUGGGAGGCUUUGAAGUGUGGACGCCAGUCUGCAUGGAGCCAUCCUUGAAAUACCACCCUUUAAUGGCUGGUGUUCUAACGUGGGCCCGUGAACCGGGUUGCGGACAGUGUCUGGUGGGUAGUUUGACUGGGGCGGUCUCCUCCUAAAGAGUAACGGAGGAGCACGAAGGUUGGCUAAUCCUGGUCGGACAUCAGGAGGUUAGUGCAAUGGCAUAAGCCAGCUUGACUGCGAGCGUGACGGCGCGAGCAGGUGCGAAAGCAGGUCAUAGUGAUCCGGUGGUUCUGAAUGGAAGGGCCAUCGCUCAACGGAUAAAAGGUACUCCGGGGAUAACAGGCUGAUACCGCCCAAGAGUUCAUAUCGACGGCGGUGUUUGGCACCUCGAUGUCGGCUCAUCACAUCCUGGGGCUGAAGUAGGUCCCAAGGGUAUGGCUGUUCGCCAUUUAAAGUGGUACGCGAGCUGGGUUUAGAACGUCGUGAGACAGUUCGGUCCCUAUCUGCCGUGGGCGCUGGAAGAUUGAGGGGGGCUGCUCCUAGUACGAGAGGACCGGAGUGGACGCAUCACUGGUGUUCGGGUUGUCAUGCCAAUGGCACUGCCCGGUAGCUACAUGCGGAAGAGAUAAGUGCUGAAAGCAUCUAAGCACGAAACUUGCCCCGAGAUGAAUCUUCCCUGAGCCUUUAAGGCUCCUGAAGGAACGUUGAAGACGACGACGUUGAUAGGCCGGGUGUGUAAGCGCAGCGAUGCGUUGAGCUAACCGGUACUAAUGAACCGUGAGGCUUAACCUU
rnacentral:rRNA from 1 species